CGCUCAACUAUGAAAGCCCGAAUGACUGCGGACAUUCCUCGCAGAGUCCGCUCCACUUAUAGUACACCUGAGUCUGUGAGCACCUUAAGUCAGCAGCAGUUAUAGCAUGUCUAUGUGGUUUCUUAGGUAGAUGGUAUGUCAAAGUCUCUUGCUCGAAAAUGUACUAAGCGAUCCAUUGUGGCGCACAAGAGUGUCUGUGUACUUGGAAUAAUAGUGCAGCUAACUGGCCAAUACGUUUUGAAAGAAUGUACAUUUUUGCCAACUACUUCAGCCCACCAUUAUGGAUAAGUGCUGCCACCCAUUUACAAAGUUAUGCAUAAUCUAGGGUAGGUACGCUUGAGUGACGCUGUCUGUGUGGCGUCACUGCACUCAGACCCACCCCUCACUCCUCCACAGUUCCAGCCUCUGAUCCAUAUGAUCACUUCUGGCUCCAAAAAUCAAGAUGGCGACAGCAAAAAUGCCAAAAUCAAGGUUUCAAAGCAGGAGUCCACAAACCAAUGGGUGGCAUCACUGUUCUGCCUUACCAGGGUUAUUUUAUUAGUCAGUAUGUUUAGUUGUCACUUAGCACCCCCUGCUGGUGGAUUUUUAUAGCAGUCAUUUAAAUCACAUAGUGUGUGUCUCUGGCUGAUGACAUCAUCAGUAGGCGACUGAUCAGUUCUCCAUGUCAGAGCCAGGGGAGAGCUCAUGCCCUUUUUUAUCGGACAUCAUUCUGGUGUUCGGGCGUUUGAAAGCAUCGUUGUUUUACCCUACUGCCAGUUACCUCAUUAAAGACAGUCAACUUGAUACAUCACUGUCUGCGUGAUAAUUGGGGAUGGAGUUUAUCUGCCUGUGAAUUUAUGCAAGACGUAUGAAGAGGACAGGACAAUCACGGCAAAACAUCUGAGCAGCAAGCUCCCACCUUCUCUGCGUUCUGGUUAACAAUAUGCUGGCUGAAGCUCUCCAGUUGAUCCGGUGUGGGGACAGAGUCUGGAGCGAUGCCAUAAGGCAUGGAGCACAGGACAUCAC